UUUAUAUUUAUGUUUAUAUUUGUGUGUUUAUGUGUUUAUAUUCAUGUGUUUAUAUUUAUGUUUAUAUUUGUGUGUUUAUGUGUUUAUAUGUAUGUGUUUAUAUUUGUGUUUAUGUGUUUAUAUGUAUGUGUGUUUGUGUGUUUAUGUUUAUGUGUUUAUAUUUGUGUGUUUAUGGGUUCAUAUUUAUGUGUGUUUAUGUGUGUGUAGUCACUGACUUCCUGGAAUAAACCAAACUACUCGGUAGAGUUCACGCUGGACGGACACACCCAGACUGUUUCCUCCAUCAAGUUCAGUCCUGAUGGAGAAUGGCUGGCUACUUCCUGUUGUCAUACCCCUCUGUUUGGAAACGCUCCGUGAGAAGAAGACACCACCACUUCCAUAUCAAAGGCAUGUCUGUCUGAAAGUAGUGUGACAAUAGAAAGGAAAAUUUGAGUUCAAAAUGUGUCCUUUCUUUUCAAAAUGAAUAGUAUGUGGCAACAACAAAAGCAUUUGGAGAGAGCAGUUUCUUCUUUGUGUAAACGUUUUUUAAAACUAACAUAAACAUAAAUAAACAUAAAUCAAGUUUAAUCUGGGAGGUGGACCAAUAUAUUUAAAAUGUUCUGUCUUGGAUUCCGUCUGUGUAAUGAUGUAACUUCAUACAGGCUGUACAGUAGACAGAGUAGAUGAGGUAAAGGAGUGAAGGAUAAGCCUACAUCAAAACUGAGCAUUAAAAACACUAAAUGUCUCAGCAUCACAAAAAAAUGUGAUCAUGAAAAGUCUGACGAUGAAGAAAAUGUACUUUCACUGUUUAUCCUUUUUCACAGCAGACAUUUGAACUGGUCACAGGUGGAAAAACUAAUAACAGAGGUCCAUAAAGGUUCUUGGUAAACUAUGCCAGAGAACCAGUAGAACACCAGCAGUUCUACUGGUUCUCUGGCAUAAUUUACCAUAGCAGACAUACCCUUCUCGGUUCUGGGUCCACAUUAAUCCGUCUGUCUCCCUGCAGUUUGAUGAGAGUGUUCGUAUCUGGGAUGUCAAGAUGGGGAAAUGUCUGAAGACGCUGCCGGCUCACUCUGACCCGGUGUCAGCUGUCCACUUCAACAGAGACGGGUCUCUGAUCGUCUCCAGCAGCUACGAUGGACUCUGGUACGUCUGAACAUUCAGAGAAACACCUGGAGGAUUAGACUCUGCUCUUCACCUGUCUGUCUGUCUGUCUGUCUGUCCGUCCGUCCGUCCGUCCGUCCGUCCGUCCGUCCGUCCGUCCGUCCGUCCGUCCGUCUGUCUGUCUGUCUGUCUGUCUGUCUGGUCGUAUCUGGGACACAGCAUCAGGACAGUGUAUGAAGACUCUGAUCGGUGAGUAAAAGCUGAACAUACAGAUUUUCGUGUCCUUCAACAUGAGAUCCUGCGUGUCAGAUUCAACAUGUGAUAGUAACGUGUCAGAUUCAACAUGUGAUGGGUGAUAGUGUGUCAGAUUCAACAUGUGAUAGAUAGUAGCGUGUCAGAUUCAACAUGUGAUGGGUGAUAGCGUGUCAGAUUCAACAUGUGAUAGGUGAUAGCGUGUCCUGUAUGAGUUCCGUGAUUCUCUCUCCUCAGACGACACCAAUCCUCCGGUGUCUUUUGUCAAGUUUUCUCCUAAUGGGAAAUACAUCCUGGUUGCUACGCUGGACAAGUCAGUACGACCACUCUUAGCUCUGAGGUAGCCUGUUAGCAUAGCCAUGCUAACCUCGCUAACACUCAGAGACACUCAUUUUUAGCCACCAUCAGUUUAGUCCUGAAGCUCUAAUUUUAGCUCUAUUAAUGUUUGACGAGCUUCAUGCUAGCUGACUAGUAGUUAGCUGGCUAGCAGUUAGCUGUGGUCUGUCAUUCUAAUGACAUUUUACCCAUGAUGCUGUUCACUCAGCAUUCAGCUAAAAUUGCUUCAAUGUCGCUAACUCUUAGCUUGAACUUUACUAGCCAGUUUAAUUUUAAUCUUUAUAACUAGCACUAAAUGCUAGGUCAUGUAAUUUCCAUAUUAUUGCUUAGCUCAAUGUUGCUUCACUAAAAUGCAGCUUGUGUUAGUGUAUGAAUGUUAUCUUAACUAUUAGCAUUGUUUUAAUCCCAAAGCUGUUAGCUCAGAGUUAGCUCAUCAUUUUAGCCUCAGUUAGCAUCAUGUCAGUGUCAUUUAAACCUGAAAUUGUUUAGAUCUUAUUAACCCUCGGUAACAUUCAACAUUAGCUUCAUGUUCAAGGUGUCGUUUUAAACAUUUAGCUUAGCUACGGUUUAGUUAGCCUAAUGUUGCUAACAGACUCAGCCUUCAGUAACUCUGCUGCUUAAUUAAUUGUUAUAUUUUCUCUGGUUUACAGCACAUUGAAGCUGUGGGACUGUAGCAAAGGUCUGUCUGUCUGAUGGUACCACUUGCCUGUCUGUCCUCAGUGUCUGAAGACCUACAGCGGCCAUAAGAAUGAGAAAUAUUGCAUUUUCGUCAACUUCUCCGUCACAGGAGGGAAGUGGAUCGUGUCGGGUUCUGAGGACAGCAUGGUUUACAUCUGGAACCUGCAGACCAAAGAGACCGUUCAGAAACUACAAGGACACACAAGUUGGACUUUUACCCUCACACUAUCUCAGUUGCUGUGGAAACCAUGUUUGAGCUAUGGGGACUUUAAUCAAUGAGCAGAAAUGUUGGUUUCAGUUUGUUUCUAUAAAAAGUUUUGACUACAA